GCUAACACAUGCAAGUCGAACGAACUCUUCGGAGUUAGUGGCGGACGGGUGAGUAACACGUGGGAACGUGCCUUUAGGUUCGGAAUAACUCAGGGAAACUUGUGCUAAUACCGAAUGUGCCCUUCGGGGGAAAGAUUUAUCGCCUUUAGAGCGGCCCGCGUCUGAUUAGCUAGUUGGUGAGGUAAAGGCUCACCAAGGCGACGAUCAGUAGCUGGUCUGAGAGGAUGAUCAGCCACAUUGGGACUGAGACACGGCCCAAACUCCUACGGGAGGCAGCAGUGGGGAAUCUUGCGCAAUGGGCGAAAGCCUGACGCAGCCAUGCCGCGUGAAUGAUGAAGGUCUUAGGAUUGUAAAAUUCUUUCACCGGGGACGAUAAUGACGGUACCCGGAGAAGAAGCCCCGGCUAACUUCGUGCCAGCAGCCGCGGUAAUACGAAGGGGGCUAGCGUUGCUCGGAAUUACUGGGCGUAAAGGGAGCGUAGGCGGACAUUUAAGUCAGGGGUGAAAUCCCGGGGCUCAACCUCGGAAUUGCCUUUGAUACUGGGUGUCUUGAGUAUGAGAGAGGUGUGUGGAACUCCGAGUGUAAGGUGAAAUUCGUANAUAUUCGGAAGAACACCAGUGGCGAAGGCGACACACUGGCUCAUUACUGACGCUGAGGCUCAAAGCGUGGGGAGCAAACAGGAUUAAAUACC
rnacentral:rRNA from 1 species